rnacentral:tRNA from 1 species
UCCCUGGUGGCUAAGAUGGUAAAGAAUCUGCUUGCAAUGCAGAAGACCUGGGUUUAAUCCCUGGGUUGGGAC